AUAUAGUAUAUAGUCAGCAUAAUAUAUAAUAUAACAGAUAGAUAAUUGGAAAAACCUUCAUUCGUUGUGAUUGAUCACAAAGUUUUCCAAUUCGUUAUACACCAAUCUCUAUAUCAUUUUAGUGAGUCCGCUUGCGAGUUAAAGCAAGGAAAAUCUUGUCUAAUUUACCCUUGCACUGAGACCUUAGAUGUGGCACAUAAUAAAGCUACUGAUAGACUCAAGUCCAACUCAAAUUCAUUGUCAUUUUCACCUCAGUCUCGUUUUCAUUGUGGACACUUGUGGAAUUUCGCCUUUGCAAACACACGACUACAAAACGGCGACCGCCCGUUUGACCCCUGUCCAUAAAAAAACAGAGAAAGUAGGGGGCACUCGCAGAAACUACUCAUAAAUAAAUACACAGAGAUCCAUUGUUGUUUCGCCGCAUUUUGCUGGGCUUUGGAUGUGUUCAGUUCUUUUUUUCGGAAUCGUUUUGUUUGGCUUUGCUCGCCGGGUCGUGUGUUCGCUUGUUGCUUCUCAUUUUGCUUUUUUUAGAAAAACAAGGGGGUUUGUUUACGCUUUUGCAAAUGCCGAAAGGGGUGCUUCAGUUUAGUGCAGCAGCGGUGAAAAAAUAAAACGAAAUGGAAAUAAAUAAACAAGCCGUUUUUGCUGGCUGCUUAAAUUCGUAUAAAGAUUACGUUCCAGUUCGUUUAUGAAUUUUGAAAAUAUUCGAUGAAGAUUGCAUUUCAGUAUUUAGUACAUUAAAUAUUAUUGAAUUGUCUUCUUUGAACUAGAAUGUUUCAACUUUUAUAAUUCCGUUUGAAAAUCGAUCCCAGACAUUUAAAUAAAAUAAAAGCCUUUGAAUACUUUUCCCCUUUGUAAAUAAACUUUGCUCAAAUGCUUAUUCCAGAGGUCUUUAGCUGCAUCUAAUUCGCUUGGUAAACAUUUUAUAAAUUAUCUGCAGUUUAGCCACAAGCCAUAAAUAUGGCUGUGUAAUGUGCAUUUCCUUGCAAAUCUGCAUUGCUAUAUUUUUAUAUCUAGCCGGCGAACGUGGCGGAUGAGCAAUCUCAUUCGCACUUGCUAAUUCUCGUUUGCGCUCUCGUUCUCUGGAGAAUGCACUGAAAGCAAGGCCGCCGCAUUUUCCUCGGCCAAUUAUCUUAAUUAUUUCAUUUAACUUAUUACCAUAAUUAUCAUAUUUCGAUUUUGAGCGAGGCAGUGGACUGAAUGGAACGGAAACUCAUAAAUUUGAAACGCCUAUUUCGUUUUCACUUGCGUGCCACAAUUAUCGCAGUUUUAAAGGUGAGCGAAUUUCUCGCGGCUUUAUCCGCAGAAUAUAAAAAUAUAAUAUGUGUGUGUUUAUAUUAUUAAUUUAACAAAUAUGGCACAUUUCUAUUCAAGCCCGCGGAUGUAUUAUUUUUCUCCUUUUAUUAAACAUUUAUAUACAAUAAUAUCGGCCCAAAGAACUUUGUGCUCUUUGAACGAUGCGCCUUCAAGUGUUCUGGGUUUGUUGUUUGCAAUUGAUUAAAGUAGACCCAACCUUACAUCCAGAAAACCGAGGCAUGUUCUUCAAACAAAUGUGCACUGAAAAAAUAUGAACUAUAAAGAUUUAAUAUUAAUAUUGUGUCAAAUAAACUUGUUAGGCAAGCAAUAUAAUCAUCAAAACACAUUGUGUGGUACCUUUUUUUUCAGUAUUUGGAACAUUUAGGGGUGUACAAUCAUUAAUAAGGUUAAUAUUUUUAAGAGUGUACACUUGAUUGAAUAACCGCGACUGCAAGUGUUAGUGUGCCAGUGGGUUUUCAGUGUGUGCUCAUGCGUGUGUGUGUCUGUUUUUUGUAUCUUUGACUUUGAUCGCGCAUGAUUAAUGAUUACGCCUGUGUUUAUUGCCAUUGCCACUUCAAGGGAUUCGGGGAGGGGUUGAUAAAACUUUUCUUCCCGUCGCUUUCGGGAUUUCGAUGCCCGGUGAGUUUCUCAUAUUUCAACUUGAACACCUCCGCCCAGGGGCUGGUGUUGUCUUCGUGCGUUUGUCAUCGUUUAUAUAUAAUUGGACAAACUUGGCGCACAGUACACAAUAUAUCACAUUGAGGAUGAAUGUAUUAGAGAUUAGUGUAUACAAAAAAAAGAUGUUUAAUAUUAAGGUAGGUCAUAAAUAACUACUGCACGUGCUAGAUACAUUUCUUGUAAAUAAUAAUGCAAUGGGGAUAGAAAAUUUCAGUCACAUACUCCAAAAUCUCAACGACGACUAAGAGCUAAAAAAAGAAACAUAAAUGUAUUAAACUGGAAGAUUAACUCUCUUUGCUUCCAUCGGUAGCUCUAAAACUCUUGCACGAAUAAGAAGCUGAAAAUUUAAUAAAAGUUUAAGAGAAGCCAUAAAAAGGAAGCAGAAGUGCGAAUCCAAACGCAACACAAGCGAAACUUUCUAAUCCAAUGCCAAAAAACUGAGAGCUAUCGGGCUUUUGGUUUCAAUGCAAUUAAAACGAGUGCAGGUCCUUGCAUUCUUCUUGUGCAUUUAGGACCCGAGUGGCCUUUCACAUCGACAUCGACAUCGAGUAUACGCCACGUUGUGCCGCAGCGGGGUAGAGCUCUUCAAUGGCAGACUAAUUUUUGUAUUCUAUGCUUAAAUUGCUGUCCAAAAAAUAGAGAUAAAUAACAUGAAUGAGGGGCAGCCAUUAUGUACAUGCGUAUGAAUGCUGAUUCAUUAGCCAAACCUUCAAUUCCAUAGACAGAGGGCCAUUUAAAUGCGAAUUAGGCUAACCGCCCUUUUUGGUUGAGUGUGUGUGUGUGCUAGGGGGGUGUUUCUACACCCUAUGGUGUGUGUUUUUGGGGGUGUGGCUGUUGUGGUUUGGCCCUUCCUGCGGAUUAGAGAUCCUAGUUCUGUGGUCUCGCCCUGGCACGUUCAAUCUUUCCCUGGAUUGCAAAUAGUGGGUGGAUGUGUGAUUCUGGCCACUUUUGCUGGAUGGCGUUUAAUUUGAUUUGGCUGAGAAUGCAUAAACUACUUAUAGGGAAAACAUCAAUUAGUUGAGCUAAUUAAGAGGCGGUACAAGAGGCUGGCAAUGAAAACAGAUAAUUAGGACCCCUUGUAAGUUAAAAUAUGAAAAAUGUGUUUUACACACUAUUUUACGUAUUUAUAAAAGCAAACAAAUGUUUUGAAUACAUAACUAAAUGAUUCGGGUCUAGUAAUGCUCAAAGCAUUAAAUUUUUUUACUUAUUUUUACUGCUGGCCUACAAAAAGAAUUUCCAAUUUCAUUGGAUGAAAUUUUACUGUCAAAUAAUUAUUUUCAAGUCGUAUUCAAGUGGGUCGAGUCCAAUUCCCAUUAAAGUUAAUUAUCAAAUGGCUGGCAAAUCCAAAGCCAAUUUGAACCGGCUAUACCAGUUUGAAGCGUUAUUGCAAACAGAUCUUCUGAACAUAUUAAACCAUGAGCAAAAGACCGUGAUGGGACAUUUAAAUUAAAUGUCUCUCCAGAACCCACAAGUAGCGUGCAUUUUAUUCUAUCGGAUCGCACUAAAAUGUGCUGUAAUUGCUCAUUUAUGGAUACAAAAGAAAUGUUUGAACUAUGUGCUAAGCGAUUUUAUUAGCUACCGCCGGCCAUAAAAGUCGUCGACAUCAAAAGUCUAAAAAUACUCUUAGCCAAAUCGCCAAAAAACAAAAAAUAAGGUAAUAUCAAGGAAAAACAAAGGCAAGCGGCUGCCAAAGCAAAACAACAGGUAAUUAAGAAUGCAAAUAAACAAUGCGAAUCUAUUGAGAAUUUGCAAAAUGCAGAAAAUCGCUUUCCAUUCGGCUGUUAUAUUUUUUGACUUAGAUUCGAAUAAAAUAAUUCCCUAUUUUGCCACAAUACUUGCGUGUCACAACGAAAUAUUGGUGCAAUGUGCUAAACAAACUUGAUUUGCCAUAAAAUUUAAUUUCGCGCCCAUUUGGUGAAGACCAGUGGAGCGGCCCAGCCCAAAGAUUUGUGCAAAUGCUCAGCUGUUAGACGAAUACAAUCAAUUUUUGGCUUCUGAAAUGCAUGGCCAAAAGGCUGGGCCAAUAAAUCAAUUUGCAAUCUGUUGAAAAUUUUUGAAAAAUGUGGCGCGAUCGUUUGACAUUCUCGAGUCGGACAAGUGUGAAAGGAAAUGCUUACAGAUCUAUGUGUAAGAACUUUCGACAAAUUUGCUGCACUCUGAAAUUGAUUGCCAUAAUUUAAAUGUGUAUAGGCAAUAUUUCAACAAAGUUCGAACUGCAAAUUAUUUACGUCAACGGGUGGCGAACCACGUAAGCAAACAGGCAUACUGCAAACAGAUAAAUGAAUAAAAACAUAUACAGCUCGAAAAGCAUACUAAACAAAAACUUGGAAUAUCGUUCAAUAGAAGUACUCACUUAUUUGUAAAACGACACUUAUUUGUAGAAGUUUAUAAGUGCAAAUGGCUUUGUUUAUUUCGUUUAGCUUUCCAAACUUAUUAUUCACUUUAUCAGCCAAUAAAACAAAAGUGUCAAUACAUUACAAUCAAUGAAAUUUGAUGGACAUUCAAUUUUUGUUCUGUAGCUUUUCAUUGAUGAGAGCUAAAGUUUUAUUGAAUGCAAUUCAGUUUGGCACUUAAAAUCCAGUAUCUGCAAUAGUUAUCAAUUUUUAUGUGAAAGAUCUUCGGAUGGCUAAUUAUCGCAAAACAAAACACUUUGUCACAUUUUUGUUUUAGAGAGACACGGUUUCCCAUAUUUAUACUUCAUUAUAAAUAAACAGGUCUCAUUCUCUGUUAUUUCUGUAGUCAUUUUACCUUGGCUGUUGAUUGCCCCCGAAAUGUUUGUAUAAACCUCUUUAUUUAUGUUACAAUUUAGCUUUUUUCUUGUUCCCCAUCAUUACACAUGUUAAUUAUUCAUUUUUUUUUAGUCCUAUCCACACAGAGAACAAAAAUGUUUAUUGAAAUCUCGAUAACCACAUACAUGCACAUAAAUCCCUGUGAUAGACACUCUUUUUGCACGAAUUUAACAGGAUUAAGUUAUGAUAUAUUUAUAAUAAAAGACCAUGCAAAAAAGGCUGCUUUUCUCUCGGUGUAUGGUUUGGAAUUUGGCUGACACAGAACUUGUUGUUGCUGUUUGAUUAGGCUUCUAGGUUGACACAUGGGGCCACACAAAUACAGACGGGCAGACAUAUAGACAGAUCGGCCGACUGACAGAAAGUCCCUCAUAGAUAGACACCCAUAUACUCACAAAACUCGGCAAACUCGGGAGACGGACAGAGCACAUGUGUUGAAAAUUUAACAGAAAUGUGCAAAUUUAAUUAAAUUCAAACGAGAAAUAAAUAUAAAUAAGCUUUAUUCACACAUUUAUUUACGUACAUACGUCCGUACGAAUAAUACUAUGUAGUAUUCUAUGGCGGAGAUCUUGUGAAAAUAAGAAGCUGUGUGACCUAAGGAAAAAUAACAAAUAACAAAAACAACCAGCUCAUUGCUGCUGCAAUUGUGUACGUAAAUAAAAACGCAAUUUUCACACUUUUUUUAAACUUGACAAAGUCAAAUCACAGAGGAAAAAAAACGGAAAACACUAGCGAAACACUCUGCAACAAAUUAACAGAACCCAUAAUAUACAUUUUCAAUUGUAAGCAAUCUAUAGAAAAUAUAUUAUUUUGCAUAUUGCAUAUUAUUUUAUAUUAAUAAUUAGUCAAAUUAACUACCUAUUUGUUAACCAACCAUUUGUUUGGGUAACUAGUGUACACCGUAGGGAGGCCCAUGCAAAACGUGGGAUCUGUAAAUGCUGUAAAUUAGCCAAAAGCCCGAAUACUAUGUAUAUUAAUUUGUAUUUAUAUGCCAGACGAAAGAUAAGGUCUCUGAAAUGUAGACUAGGCAAGAGGAAAGAGUUAGGGAGAUAAGACAUUUUCCAAAUAAUAAUGCAAGCCCAUUUUAUAAUGACUCAUAAUACACUGCACGUUUUUACCCGCUGCUAGUUGAGCAUUUGUGAUAAGUCAAAUAUUUCCUUUACUUUCAGACCGCAUUCGAUUGGGAAAUAUAAAACAGGUUUGGCCGCAGAGAAUUUAAAAUAUAAUUUGUCUCAUUGGACUUAGUGGCGGCUUCAAUAAAGCAUUUUAUCGGCGCUAUCGCCAUUUGAUAAUGGGCCUGGCCAAAUGGCCAGAAACCCCGAAACAAACCCAGAAACAAACCCGCCCAGGUCGCUUCUUCAUUUACGUUAUCGGAGGAGCAUAUGGCAAGCGGCUUUGAUUUGGUUUUUAUUUUCACUCAUUCACAUAUACGAAGGCGUGACACUUUUUUAUAGAAUCUUUACUCUCGACUCGGUUCUUUACUAUGUAGAUAAACUAAAAUCUGGAAUAAAUGAGCCCCGCUGAGUGGGGGCGUUAAUUUAUUAAUGCGGAGCCGUGAGCCAAAACAAAAAUCUGCGAGAACACUUUUAUAACUUGAUUUAUUUAAAGACAACAGCAUUUGGCAAAUGAAACGGAUGAGUUGGUGUUGCUAAAUGUGUGCUUAAAAAUACAUCGAAAUUAUGAGACAUGCACAGAAGGACAUUGGCAAAGGUCAUUCUUGACAUAAGGAGGCAGCAUAGAUAACAUAAAUGAUUUUUAUUAGAUCUCGAAUUAUGUGGAAAAUUAUCCUAUAGAAUUCGGCUACUGCUAGAAUCUACGGAGUCCGAAGCAGUUUUAAGGGAAAGUUUUACUUUGGAAAAAAUACUUAAAUUAAAUUAACUUUAAUCAACUGGAAUUAAAAAAGUUAGUUAAGAAAAUUUAACUGGCCUACAAACAGCUGUGAACAAUUAAAUAGUACGACUAGCAGUAAAAAAAAAAUAUUAUUAAUAAAUGUGUUAUUAAAUAUAUAUUUAGAGUUUCCACAAUUCGUUCUCUUUUAGAAAGAAGCUUUUUACGUUGAAUAUUUAAGAAUGUUAUAAUUUUAUUAUAAUAAUAAGGAGCAAUAUAUUUGAUUGCUUCUUGCAAUAUGUUGCUAAAACAUUUUACGACCGCAAGCACAAUAAUUUGAGCACAGCUGUGCAGGAAAAUAUAUAGAGUAUCGAACUCAUAUAUAUGUAUGUAUAUUUAUAUAUUUUGUAUCACUUUUUCCACCAGAUCUUCACACAUAGGCGAUCAUCAACUCGUUCGGCCAAUGAAGAAAAAGUUUCGAAUAAAAAACCACUAAAAACACGAAAUAGCAACAAUAAUAACCAGAACAGACGCAAUAAUCGCCACCAGCUGCCAAGUAGCAUUAAUUUAAUUUGUGGGCUUAAUUCGGAGGCACUUGUUGUUAUUUUUGCUAUGACAUUGCUUUUUUGUAAUUAAUAAACGACUAACAAAAACGCAAAUAUAAAUAAAUAAGUCUGUAGAAAACCCAGAUCAGAUGCGAUUAGCACUAUCGCAAUGAGCAGCACCGAAAAAGAGAUGCCUGUGAAUAUGUAUAUUCGAUCUGUCGCUAACCAUUCAGAUUGUUUGCUCGCCGACUCGCAUCGCGUCGCAUUUUUUGUAUUUUCGUAUUUUUAGCUAAUUUCAGUUGCUAUUGAGCUUGGCAAUUAGUUACACUUGAUUAUAUGAAAGCAGAUCGCGGGUGAACAGUUUGCCGGCCCCUCAAGUUCGAUGUUUAUGUAUUCUAGUUGUAUUUUAGCUCGUAUUCCACUUUGUUUUUGAAUUGGUUUUGUUUUCGAAACGGAAGGAAAUAACCCAUCCUAGACUCUCCUGUGUUUCCAUUGGCUUUUCCUGCCUUUUACUGCAAAUUUCAUUGAGCCCCAUCCCGGAUGCAAUGGACCAUAAAGGUGCAGCGGGACAAUUGGCAUGAAAUGCAGAAUAUCGGAAUGAACAAUGCGGGUGAAGGCCAAAAUUCGACGGCUCGUCCGUCAAUCAAAGUGUUCUCAACGGACAGAGAUAGACGUCCGUGUUCGAUGCAAAAAUAUUGGCAUGUCAUAAAGGUAAUGUUCAAAGGAAUCGAACUGUGUCGACGAAAGUGUAAUAAUACGAGUAUAUGAUUUCUUAUAGUGGAAAUAAUAUAGCAAUAGUAUAACAAGUAAGGUUAUAUAAUUUGUUAUAUACAACUUGGAAUUUUUUGUUAAAUUCUAACCUGUAACUACUUUUCGCGAAAUAAAAACAGUCAAGAAAACAAAAUGUAUGUACUACAUCAUGGAAAAUCGCAGUUUUGACGGUCCCCAACAACACACAAAUGCCCCAGGCCAUUUUCCGAAAACAAAAAUGAUUUGUUUUUCUUAAAUUACGCGAUUUUUCUUCUGGCAACUAUAGUCCUUCCCGAAAAAGUAACUUACUUUUUCAUGCAGGUGCUCGCGAUUCUAAAGACAAAUGUGCGUUGGAAUAUAAAAUGCGGUUAUUAUUUUCUGUAUUGAAGCGGUGAUUGUUGAGCAACAUGCUGCUAAUGUCAGGCGCAACAAAAGGCUGGCAACUUGUUGAUGGAUUCGAAUGUAAACAGAGAAAUGUUUCACAAAUGCUCUCUUUUGUACACCUUAAAAAUAUUUAGUGCUUUACCUUCGCCUUCUGGUCAAAACUUAAAACGUUUGCCCCUUGUCAUUGUAAGCUGAUAAGCAUUACAAAGUGUGAAGCUAACUUAUCUUGGGCUACGGAAAAUCUGUGCACACACUGCUACAAUAAUUUAUGGGACCCAUAUUAUGGAAAAAUAAUUUGCUCACUUACUUUAAAUUAUAAGCAUAAAAGUAAGAUUUUAUUUUAAAAUAUGUAUACUUUAUUCUUUAUUGCUCUUCGGUUGCAUUCAAUCAGCAUUCGCAUAUAUGGUACACAAAAAAUACACAGAGAUAGUAUAUAGUUAGAAUAAUGUAGAUUUAAGUGAUUUCACGACGCACAAACAUCAAAUGCAUAAUAAAGUAUCAGCUUCAGUUACAUUUAACAGUUCCGGUUGCAUGAUUUCUGUUUUCUUUCAGUUUUCGGGCGACUUGAUCUCACAAUAAACCAUUCCGUUCAUCAAUUUUAAAUACAUAGCGAAAUGCAAACAACUUUAUUAAAGUUAAUUACUCAAUUGUUAAUCUGUUUGAAAAUAUAUGUUAAACAUAGGCAAUGACAUUUAGAACCAAACGACUGACUGACUGAUUGACUGACUGGCCUAGUGACUUGACUUGGUUUUGACUUGACUGACCGACUUGGCGUCUCAUUGAGGACUUAGGCGAAAAACGCUCUUCAUCUGCACACAAUCAAUUUGCAAAUUGGGUAUCAAAAAUACUUAUUAUGGCUUUACACUUUAGUUACAAAAAUAUUUAAUACCUUUAACAAAAAUACUUGACGAUCAAUUACAUUUUUGGAAAAAUUCGCGUACA